rnacentral:rRNA from 1 species
CCUACGGGUGACAGCAGUGAGGAAUAUUGGUCAAUGGGCGGAAGCCUGAACCAGCCAAGUCGCGUGAGGGAAUAAGGCCCUACGGGUCGUAAACCUCUUUUGCCGGGGAGCAAGGGCGGGGACGUGUCCCGGCCCGGAGAGUACCCGGAGAACAAGCAUCGGCUAACUCCGUGCCAGCAGCCGCGGUAAUACGGGGGAUGCGAGCGUUAUCCGGAUUUAUUGGGUUUAAAGGGUGCGUAGGCGGGCUUUUAAGUAAGGGGAAAAAAUGGGGGGCCCAAACCCUGCGGGCCGUUGAAACGGGGGCCUUGAGUGGGCGAGAAGAAGGCGGAAUGCGUGGUGUAGCGGUGAAAUGCAUAGAUAUCACGCAGAACCCCGAUUGCGAAGGCAGCCUUCCGGCGCCCUACUGACGCUGAGGCACGAAAGUGCGGGGAUCGAACAGGAUUAGAUACCCCGGUAGUC